rnacentral:rRNA from 1 species
AUUGAACGCUGGCGGCAUGCUUUACACAUGCAAGUCGAACGGCAGCACAGGUGCUUGCACCUGGUGGCGAGUGGCGAACGGGUGAGUAAUAUAUCGGAACGUACCCGGAAAUGGGGGAUAACGUAGUGAAAGCUACGCUAAUACCGCAUACGAUCUAUGGAUGAAAGCGGGGGAUCGCAAGACCUCGCGCGAUUGGAGCGGCCGAUAUCAGAUUAGGUAGUUGGUGGGGUAAAAGCCUACCAAGCCUUCGAUCUGUAGCUGGUCUGAGAGGACGACCAGCCACACUGGAACCGAGACACGGUCCAGACUCCUACGGGAGGCAGCAGUGGGGAAUUUUGGACAAUGGGCGCAAGCCUGAUCCAGCAAUGCCGCGUGCGGGAAGAAGGCCUCGGUUGUAACGCUUCUAGACGGAAGAAAUACGCCAGGGCGUAAUAUACCCUCGGU